rnacentral:rRNA from 1 species
GCGCACCAGUCGCGAAAACUCCGCAAUACACGAAAGUGUGACGGGGCUAUCCCGAGUGCCGUCCGCUGAGGAUGGCUUUUCCCCAGUGUAGACAGCUGGGGGAAUAAGGAGAGGGCAAGUCUGGUGUCAGCCGCCGCGGCAAUACCAGCUCUUCGAGUGGUAGGGAUGUUUAUUGGGCCUGAAGCAUCCGUAGCCGGCUGAGCAAGUUCUCUGUUAAAUCCAGCGAUUUAAUCGUUGGAUUUCGGGGAAUACUGUUCGGCUUGGGGGCGUGAGAGGCCGUCGGUAUUCUUGGGGUAGGGGUAAAAUCUUAUAAUCCCGGGAGGACCACCAGUGGCGAAGGCGGCCGACUAAAACGCGCCCGACGGUGAGGGACGAAAGCUGGGGGAGCGAACGGGAUUAGAUAUGAAGUUGAGUUUUUACCAGCUUCACUAGAUACCCCGGUAGUCC